rnacentral:lncRNA from 1 species
CUCGUCUGGGGAAUAAAUCUAGUGUAUUAAAAUAUGCAUUUUCAUCAAAUGAAGUUUUUUUUAGCAUUGUGUAUGGUUUCUUUUUUGAAACUCUUAUCCAACAUAAUAUGUUGGAUAAGGGUUUUAUCCAACAUAUCCACACUACUAAGUUUUAUACUCUACAAUAAAUGGGGGAAGUACCAAAAUUCCAGUGAACAAAUGAAAAUUUUUGUCAUUACCAGUAUUAGUGUCAGUAUCAGUGUCAUUACCAGUAUUAGUGUCAGUAUCAGUGUCAUUACCAGUAUUACAUUAACAGUGUUGCCACACAUAUAAAAAUGAAGUAGAGAAAUUAUAGA